rnacentral:snRNA from 1 species
GGUGUCCUAAGAUGAGCU